UACAGAGGUGGCAAGCGUUGUUCGGAAUUACUGGGCGUAAAGGGCGCGUAGGCGGUCCCGUAAGUCCCGCGUGAAAGCCCCCGGCUCAACUGGGGAACGGCGCGGGAGACUGCAGGACUUGAGAUCGGGAGAGGGAAGCGGAAUUCCGGGUGUAGCGGUGAAAUGCGUAGAUAUCCGGAGGAACACCGGUGGCGAAGGCGGCUUCCUGGACCGACACUGACGCUGAGGCGCGAAAGCUAGGGGAGCAAACGGG
rnacentral:rRNA from 1 species